GACGAACCGUGCGAACGUUGUUCGGAAUCACUGGGCAUAAAGGGCGCGUAGGCGGCUUUUCAAGUCAGGGGUGAAAUCCGGCAGCUCAACUGUCGAAGUGCCCUUGAUACUGAUGAGCUCGAGGGAGGUAGGGGUGUGUGGAACUUCCGGUGGAGCGGUGAAAUGCGUUGAUAUCGGAAGGAACGCCGGUGGCGAAAGCGACGCACUGGACCUCUUCUGACGCUGAGGCGCGAAAGCCAGGGGAGCAAACGGG
rnacentral:rRNA from 1 species